GUGCUUGUUUCAGCAGCACAUAUACCAAAAUUGGAAUGAUGUAGAGAAGAUAGCAUAGCUUCUGCACAAGUAUGACAUGCAAGUUUGGAAAGCAUUCAUUUUUUUU
ensembl:snRNA U6 U6 spliceosomal RNA